rnacentral:rRNA from 1 species
UACGAAGGGGGCUAGCGUUGCUCGGAAUCACUGGGCGUAAAGCGCACGUAGGCGGAUCCUUAAGUCGGGGGUGAAAUCCUGGAGCUCAACUCCAGAACUGCCUUCGAUACUGAGGAUCUCGAGUCCGGGAGAGGUGAGUGGAACUGCGAGUGUAGAGGUGAAAUUCGUAGAUAUUCGCAAGAACACCAGUGGCGAAGGCGGCUCACUGGCCCGGUACUGACACUGAGGUGCGAAAGCGUGGGGAGCAAACAGG